rnacentral:rRNA from 1 species
UACGUAGGCAGCGAGCGUUGUUCGGAGUUACUGGGCGUAAAGCGCGCGUAGGCGGUGGUCCAAGUCUGGUGUGAAAUCUCCCGGCUCAACUGGGAGGGUGCGCCGGAAACUGGGCCGCUGGAGUACGGGAGAGGCAAGCGGAAUUCCAGGUGUAGCGGUGAAAUGCGUAGAUAUCUGGAGGAACACCCGUGGUGCAGACGGCUUGCUGGACCGUGACUGACGCUGAGGCACGAAAGCGUGGGUAGCAAACAGG